CACAUGUCUUAAUUCGAUUAGUACUUCGAUUACGACUUUAGCCGGAUGAAGAUAAAAAAGGAACUGAAACAUAGACGUUUCAUUCUGUUCUUGACACAUGAUGGAUCUGCGUGUCUCUGUUGUUCUUCUGUUAAUUUUUCUCACUGGAGGAUACUCUCUCAAGUGUUACGUGUGCAAUACUUUGCUGACGGAUUACUGUGAAGCAAAAGUGGAGUUAUGUCGCGAUGGAUUCUCCAAAUGUCAAAGCCAAGCAACGGAAAUAUCCAUGGGUUUCGCUGAGAUAUUAAGCAUAACUAGAAAUUGUGCUUCUACAUGUGAAGCUGGGACCGAACAUUCCUGGGCUGGAGAGACAGUAACCCAGUGCUGUGACACUGACCUUUGCAAUGCAGCAGAUGGCCUGUAUAAGACAAGCUUCCUCCUGCUGUUGUCUCCUCUGCUCUUCUACUUCCUGUUUCACUGAUUCCAGCAGCAGUUCAGAUUCUACAGCAGCAGCAGAAACUGAACGUCACACACAUUUCUAUUCUUGAAUAAACAAAUAAAGCUUGUCAAUCAUUAAAA
ensembl:lncRNA